rnacentral:lncRNA from 1 species
AAAAAUCUGCUAUGAUAAUAAAUUCAAAUGAAAUAAAAAUAUUUAUAAAUAAAAAAUAAACAAUAAAUAAAUAAAGUUUAUAACUUAUAUUUAAGAUAUAAAUUAAUUGACAAAUUUCAAAUAAAACAAGGCAAACAAAGAAAAUUGUGGGUGAAUGAGUUUGAAAAAAAAACAACUUUCUUUUGAUUAACAUGUUCAUUGAAUAUAAAAAGGAAGUUGUACAAAGCCCAAAUUGCCCGGGCCACUAAAACCAAAUAAACAAGCCCAAAACAAUUCCUAGCCCAGCGAAAAAUAAACCAACCCAAACCCUAAGCAGUAUGGCUUCCCCUCUCCAGCCGCCCCAAACUUCGGAGCCAAUCUCCUCCACGUGCGCCACUCCUCCACGCGCGCCAUGGCUUGCGCGCCGCACCUGCACAACAAACAGAAACAAAACAGCAAGAAAAAGGGAUAAUAGCAAACGAAAUAGGAUUUAUUUUUAUUAUUUCGGGCUAUAAAAGCCCUAUUUUCAUGUACAAAAAGGAAAAAAGACAGAGGGAAAAAUAUAGAUAAUAGAGCAAAGAUCAGUUUUUGAGGUAUUAGAAGUGUUUAAGUAAUUUUUUUAUUUUGUUUCUGCUCAUGUAAUGAAAAAAGGGAAAGAGAGUUUUGUUCUUUCAUUCUAUUUUGUUUUUAUUUCAUUAUUAUCUUUUAUUUCUUUUCUUUAAAAUUCGAAAAAGAAAGAAAAAGGGAGACUUACCUUUCGCCGGAGUCGUCGAGCUGGUGUCCCCUCCGACGAAAUCGGGACGUGGGCUGAACGGCGGCCAAAGGGUUACGAAAACCCCAAAAGAAGCAGUUCCUGCUUCAAAGGGAAAGGCAAAUGUUUCCCUAAUUUUUAAAACUUAAAACUGAGCAAUGAUGCACUAUUUAGUUUGGGGGUCCGCGCAUAUCAAUAUUCAAUGGGAGAAUUGCGCAAUAAGUCCUUCCCCUUUGCGCCAUGUUUUAUUAGGUCAAUUAUUACUUUUUAAUUUGGCCCAAAUGUUUUUACCUUGUUUCAAAUCGGUCCCCAUUGCGAUGCAGCGUUUUAGGGAGGCGGAUUAUUUCCAUUUGGGCCCCCUCAUAUAAUGCGUGCGUUGCAGAUUGGUCCCUGUUCUAUUUUAAUUUCAUUUUUUAUUUAUUCUCUUUUUUUCCCGUUAUUUUUUUUUAUUUUUUUUCAAAUUCUAUUUUUAGAAUUAUUACUAUAUUAUUUAUUAUCAUUUAUUACUAUUUCUAUAUUCAUAUACGAUUUUUUUUGUUACUCAUAUAUUUUACAUUAUAUAUAUAUACUUAUACAUUUCUUUUAU